UUCCGGUUGAUCCUGCCGGACCUGACUGCUAUCGGAUUGAUACUAAGCCAUGCGAGUCAUUGUAGUAAUACAAGGCAGACGGCUCAGUAACGCGUAGUCAACCUACCUUAUGGACGGGGAUAACCUCGGGAAACUGAGAAUAAUACCCGAUAGAACAUUAUGCCUGGAAUGGUUUAUGUUUCAAAUAAUUUAUUGCCGUAAGAUGGGACUGCGGCCUAUCAGUUUGUUGGUGAGGUAAUGGCCCACCAAGACUAUUACAGGUACGGGCUCUGAGAGGAGUAGCCCGGAGAUGGGUACUGAGACACGGACCCAGGCCCUAUGGGGCGCAGCAGGCGAGAGAACUUUGCAAUGUGCGAAAGCACGACAAGGUUAAUCCGAGUGGUUUCUGCUAAAGGAACCUUUUGUCAGUCAUAGAACCACUGAUGAAUAAGGGGUGGGCAAGUUCUGGUGUCAGCCGCCGCGGUAAAACCAGCACCUCAAGUGGUCAGGAUGAUUAUUGGGCCUAAAGCAUCCGUAGCCUGCUUUGUUAGUUUUCGGUUAAAUCCAUGUGCUCAACGUAUGGGCUGCCGGGAAUACUGCAAAGCUAGGGAGUGGGAGAGGUAGACGGUACUCGGUAGGAAGGGGUAAAAUCCUUUGAUCUAUUGAUGACCACCUGUGGCGAAGGCGGUCUACCAGAACACGUCCGACGGUGAGGGAUGAAAGCUGGGGGAGCAAACCGGAUUAGAUACCCGGGUAGUCCCAGCUGUAAACUAUGCAAACUCGGUGAUGCAUUGGCUUGAUGCCAAUGCAGUGCCGCAGGAAAGCCGUUAAGUUUGCCGCCUGGAAGUACGUACGCAAGUAUGAGACUUAAAGGAAUUGGCGGGGGAGCACACAAGGGUGAAGCCUGCGUUCAAUUGGAUCACGCGGU
rnacentral:rRNA from 1 species